rnacentral:tRNA from 1 species
GCGGGGGUAGCCAAGAGGUCAACGGCGCAGGAUUCAGGGUCCUGUCUCGAAGGAGUUCGGGGGUUCAAAUCCCUCUCCCCGCA